AUGCUGAGUCUCCUGCUGCUUCUCCUGGGGGCAGGCUCUGUGUCCAGUGUCCUCAUCUCCCAAAAGCCAAGCAGGAACAUCUGUCAACAAGGGACCUCGGUGACCAUCCAGUGUCAGGUUGACACUCAAGUCUCUUUCAUGUUGUGGUACCUCCAGCUCCCAGGACAGAGCUUGGCCCUGAUCGCAACUGCAAACCAGGGCUCAGAGGCCACGUAUGAGAGUGGCUUCACCAAGGACAAGUUCCCCAUCAGUCAGUCAAACCUCACCUUCUCCACACUCACUGUGAGAGCGGGGAGCCCUGAGGACAGUGGUGUCUACUUCUGCAGCGCUGACACAGUGCUGGGCGUGGGCCUGACGGUGGGGCAAGAACCCUGCACCCCACACACAGUCGGGUAG